UACGUAGGGAGCAAGCGUUACCCGGAUUUAUUGGGUGUAAAGGGUGCGUAGACGGGAUUACAAGUUGGUUGUGAAACCCCUCAGCUCAACUGAGGAACUGCAACCAAAACUAUAAUUCUUGAGUGCAGGAGAGGAAAGUGGAAUUCCUAGUGUAGCGGUGAAAUGCGUAGAUAUAUGGAGGAACACCGGUGGCGAAAGCGGCUCUCUGGCCUGUAACUGACACUGAGGCUCGAAAGCGUGGGGAGCAAACAGG
rnacentral:rRNA from 1 species